AAGUCGUAACAAGGUUUCCGUAGGUGAACCUGCGGAAGGAUCAUUAUAAAUUUUUUCUACAUAUUUUUAAAAUAUGUACAAAACUUUGUAUUCAAAACCACACUCUUUAAAACCAUAUAUAAAAAAAUUUGUUUCAUAUACAUAAUUUUUUUAAAUAAAUAAUAAAAUGACAACUUUCAACAACGGAUCUCUUGGCUCUC
rnacentral:misc_RNA from 1 species